rnacentral:rRNA from 1 species
GUGCCAGCAGCCGCGGUAAUACCGGCAGCCCGAGUGAUGACCGAUCUUAUUGGGCCUAAAGCGUCCGUAGCUGGCUGCGCAAGUCCGUCGGGAAAUCCACUCGCCCAACGAGUGGGCGUCCGGCGGAAACUACAAGGCUUGGGACCGGAAGGCUCGAGGGGUACGUCCGGGGUAGGAGUGAAAUCCCGUAAUCCCGCACGGACCACCGAUGGCGAAAGCACCUCGAGAAGACGGCUCCGACGGUGAGGGACGAAAGCCAGGGUCUCGAACCGGAUUAGAAACCCGUGUAGUCC